rnacentral:rRNA from 1 species
CCCGAGAGGGGAAAGUAUCGAGAGAUAGCCGAAGGAGGGGCCUACGUCCCAUCAGGUAGUUGGAAGUGUAAGAGACUCCCAAGCCGACGACGGGUAGCCGAUGUGAGAGCAUGAUCGGCCACAAGGGCACUGAGACACGGGUCCUACUCCUACGGGAGGCAGCAGUGGGGAAUUUUGGACAAUGGACGGAAGUCUGAUCCAGCGACGCCGCGUGAAGGAAGAAGUCCUUCGGGAUGUAAACUUCUGAACUUAUCGAAUAAAGACAACUGGGGACAGUUGGAUGAAGGUAGAUAAAGAAAAGCCCCGGC